GAUGAACGCUAGCGGCAGGCUUAACACAUGCAAGUCGAGGGGUAGUGGUAGCGAAUACCAGUCGAGACCGGCAAACGGGUGCGGAACACGUACACAAUCUAACCUUUAUCUGGGGCAUAGCCCGAAGAAAUUCGGAUUAAUACCCCAUAAAAUACAAAGUGGCAUCACUUAAUUAUUAAAUCUCCGGAGGAUAGAGAAUGAGUGUGCGUCCCAUUAGCU
rnacentral:rRNA from 1 species